UACGGAGGAUGCAAGCGUUAUCCGGAUUUAUUGGGUUUAAAGGGUGCGUAGGCGGGUUAUCAAGUCAGCGGUGAAAUUUUUUCGGCUUAACCGUAAAAUUGCCGUUGAAACUGGUGAUCUUGAGUGCGAGCGAGGUAGGCGGAAUGUGCCGUGUAGCGGUGAAAUGCAUAGAUAUGGCACAGAACUCCGAUUGCGAAGGCAGCUUACUAGUACGCUACUGACGCUGAUGCACGAAGGCGUGGGGAUCAAACAGGAUUAGAUA
rnacentral:rRNA from 1 species